rnacentral:rRNA from 1 species
UACGGAGGGUGCGAGCGUUUGUCCGGAAUCACUGGGCGUAAAGGGCGCGUAGGCGGCGCGGGCAGUCAACGGUGAAAGCUUGGGGCUCAACCCCGAGUCGGCCGUCGAUACUCCCGGGCUGGAGCACUGUAGAGGCAGGUGGAAUUCCGGGUGUAGCGGUGGAAUGCGUAGAUAUCGAGAGGAACACCUGCGGCGAAGGCGGGUUGCUGGGCUGACACUGACGCUGAGGCGCGAAAGCUAGGGGAGCGAACGGG